rnacentral:rRNA from 1 species
UACAGAGGGUGCAAGCGUUGUUCGGAAUCAUUGGGCGUAAAGCGCACGUAGGCGGUCUGCUAAGUCGGGUGUGAAAGCCCCAGGCUCAACCUGGGAAGUGCACUCGAAACUGGCGGACUUUGAAUGUCGGAGAGGGUGGUGGAAUUCCGAGUGUAGAGGUGAAAUUCGUAGAUAUUCGGAGGAACACCAGUGGCGAAGGCGACCACCUGGACGAACAUUGACGCUGAGGUGCGAAAGCGUGGGGAGCAAACAGG